rnacentral:rRNA from 1 species
UCUUGGACGUAAAUGAAUAAUAUUUACCAGAGUACUAUGAAUCAAAUAAAAUUUAAAACUCAAAGGGCUUGGCGGUGUUUUAGACCAUUCAGGGGAACCUGUCCCGUAAUCGACAAUCCACGUUAAACCUAACCUUUAUUUUGUAACCAGUUUGUAUACCGUCGUCGUCAGGUAACUUCCAAAAAAUCAGAAGUUAGCAACUUAAAUAAUCUAAAUUGAUACGUCAGAUCAAGGUGCAGCUUAUAAUAAGGUGAGGAUGGGUUACAAUUAUUAAUUUAUAAUGACGGAUAAUUAGAUGAAAAUAUUUAUGAAGGAGGACUUGAAAGUAAAAUAUAUUAUAAAAAUAACUUGAAUAAGGCUCUGAAACGUGC